UACGUAGGGUCCGAGUCGUUGUCCGGAAUUACUGGGCGUAAAGAGCUCGUAGGUGGUUUGUCGCGUUGUUCGUGAAAACUCACAGCUCAACUGUGGGCGUGCGGGCGAUACGGGCAGACUAGAGUACUGCAGGGGAGACUGGAAUUCCUGGUGUAGCGGUGGAAUGCGCAGAUAUCAGGAGGAACACCGGUGGCGAGGGCGGGUCUCUGGGCAGUAACUGACGCUGAGGAGCGAAAGCGUGGGGGAGCGAACAGG
rnacentral:rRNA from 1 species